CAAAGAAUAAGUGCACUUGAGUAUUACAAUGGCUGGGUGAGGCCGGUAUAAAUGUCUAUUCUGCACAAGGUACAUACAAGUAGGAUCCAUGCCUGGUUGGCCACCCAGUAAUCAGCACAAGUUAGAAUGUGGGCAACUCAGCAAUCGUUGCGCAGGCAUUUUGGUGACUCUAGAUAACCUCGGGCCGAUCGCACGCCCCCGUGAUGGCGACGACGCAUUCGGAUGUCUGCCCUAUCAACUUUCGAUGGUACUUUCUGCGCUUACCAUGGUGACCACGGGUAACGUGGAAUCAGGGUUCGAUUCCAUUGAGGCAGCCUGCGAAAUGGCUACCACAUCCAAGGAAGGCAGCAGGCACGCAAAUUACCCACUGCCGAUUCGGGGAGGUAGUGGCG